GGUGGCUCAGUGGUAGAGCACUUGCCUUGCACGCAUAAAGCCCUGGGUUCAAUUCCUCAGCACCA
rnacentral:tRNA from 1 species